GGUAGAGAUGAGAGGGUAGAGAUGAGAGAGAGGGUAGAGAUGAGAGAGAGGGUAGAGAUGAGAGAGAGGGUAGAGAUGAGAGAGAGGGUAGAGAUGAGAGCGAGGAUAGAGAUGAGUGAGAGGAUAGAGAUGAGUGAGAGGAUAGAGAUGAGUGAGAGGACAGAGGGUAGAGAUGAGUGAGAGGACAGAGGGUAGAGAUGAGUGAGAGGGUAGAGAUGAGGUAGAGAUGGUAGAGAUGAGAGAGAGGAUAGAGAUGAUGAGAGGGUAGAGAUGAGUGAGAGGGUAGAGAUGAGUGAGAGGAUAGAGAUGAGUGAGAGGAUAGAGAUGAG
ensembl:lncRNA